UAGCAGUGAGGAAUAUUGGUCAAUAGCCUAACGGCUGAACCAGCAACUUGGAGGAACAUACAGCAAUAGCUGGUUGCAUUAACAAUUAGUUUUUACAACAUCGACUAUGUCGAAUAAAGUUCUAGGUAGAGUUAUGAUAAUGACAUUUUCUAUCUAUGUGUCUUGACCAAAUCACGUGCCAGCAGUCGCGGUAAUACGUGGAAGACUAGUGUUAUUCAUCUUUAAUUGGUUUAAAGGGUACCUAGACGGUCUAUUAAGCCCCUAAAGGGUACUUACAGACUAGAGUUUGAUGAGAGGGGGGAAGUACGAGAGAGUGUAGAGAUGAAAUUCUGUCAUACCUUACUUGGAACAGGCAACGGCGAAAGCAACUCCUUAUGUAAAAACUGACGUUGAAGGACGAAGGA
rnacentral:rRNA from 2 species